AUUGAACGCUGGCGGCAGGCCUAACACAUGCAAGUCGAACGAGUGGCGGACGGGUGAGUAAUGUCUGGGAAACUGCCUGAUGGAGGGGGAUAACUACUGGAAACGGUAGCUAAUACCGCAUACCAUCAGAUGUGCCCAGAUGGGAUUAGCUUGUUGGUUGGGUAACGGCUCACCAAGGCGACGAUCCCUAGCUGGUCUGAGAGGAUGACCCGCCACACUGGGACUGAGACACCGUCCAGACUCCUACGGGGGGCAAGAGGGGGGAAUAUUGCACGAUUGGCGCAAGCCUGAUUGCGCCAUGCCGCGUGUAUGAAGAAGGCCUUCGGGUUGUAAAGUACUUUCCGCGGGGAGGCGUUACCCGCAGAAGAAGCACCGGCUAACUCCGUGCCAGCAGCCGCGGUAAUAC
rnacentral:rRNA from 1 species